AUUUUCCAGGUUGCACAGAAUACAAAAAGUGGAAGGCUGAAUAAAAAAUAAGCUCCUGUUCAAGUGACCUCACUGCUUUCUGAUGACCCCCACUGGCUAUGCCACAUUUCUGGUGCUGAAUGGAUGCACAACAAGUCGGUACUCAUCUGGGCUUCGAUGGAGUUGUUCGAUUUGAAAAAUGAUGGAAUGAACAAUCCUGCAUAUGGCUUCCAAAUUGGAAACUCAAAACUCAAGGCUCUGGUCUGAAGUGGCCACAGUUCAUCUCUGGCCUUGACAAGCCAUUUGCUGGCUGUGGAACUCAUUACUUGAAAGAGAUUUGCUACAGCUCCCAUUAUGGUGCCUUUAGAAGAAAUAAAGAUCUCCUGCCUCAAUUCCAAUACUU
rnacentral:lncRNA from 1 species